ACUCUCUCAAACGAUUCCGCAGCCCCAGCGCUCGCGGGAGUGUGGAAUUACAGUUGGGAGGCGAGGCGCUCGGGGACAGGCGACGCGCAGAGCUGGGGAGUGCGGAAGCACAGGCCACAGGCCCGCGGCGGCCAGACGGCACCGUCCCCCCUUCUGGUCCCAAGCGGGGAGCAAAAGCUCCUGAUGAGCUGUGUGGCUUGAAGGCACCUCUCAAGUGUUCCUCAGACUCAGAGGCUGUGCCUGGAGGUCCAGUAGCCAUCCUGGGAUCAUGAGGAUGAACCCCACAAAUAGUGGACAGCAGUGCAGGAAAAUAGAGGUCUGUGUUAACUGAAGUAGAUGACCUAGCCCUGGUCUGUGUGUUUCUCUGGACUUCUCAUAGAGGAGAAAAAUCAACCCCUUACUCAAGCCACUGUUCGUGGGAUUUCUUUCUUUCUUUCUUUUUUUUAAUGUAGGCUCCACACCCAAUGUAGAACUUGAACUCACAACCCUGAGAUCAAGAGUUGCACGCUGUAGGGACUGAGUCAUCCAGACACCCCAGGAUUUCUGUUGCUUGUAGCAUUCUUAACUUGAUACGCCUGGGCUCUGUUCCAGCUCUGCUCUGACUCACAGUGUGGUCCUGCAUGAAUGACUUCACCUCUCUGGGCCUUGCUUUCCUCACGUGUAGCAUGAAUA